UACGUAGGGUGCAAGCGUUGUCCGGAAUUAUUGGGCGUAAAGAGCUCGUAGGCGGUUCGUCGCGUCGGCUGUGAAAACCCGGAGCUCAACUCCGGGCCUGCAGUCGAUACGGGCGGACUCGAGUUCGGCAGGGGAGACGUGGAAUUCCGAUCGGUGUAGCGGUGAAAUGCGUAGAUAUCGGAAGGAACACCUGUGGCGAAAGCGGCUCACUGGACCAUUACUGACGCUGAGGUGCGAAAGCGUGGGGAGCAAACAGG
rnacentral:rRNA from 1 species